ACGGGUGAGUAACACGUGGGCAACCUACCUUAUCGACUGGAAUAACUCCUGGAAACCGGGGCUAAUACCGGAUAACAUCUAGCACCUCCUGGUGCAAGAUUAAAAGAGGGCUUCUUGCUCUCACGAUGAGAUGGGCCCGCGGCGCAUUAGCUAGUUGGAGAGGUAAUGGCUCCCCAAGGCGACGAUGCGUAGCCGACCUGAGAGGGUGAUCGGCCACACUGGGACUGAGACACGGCCCAGACUCCUACGGGAGGCAGCAGUAGGGAAUCUUCCGCAAUGGACGAAAGUCUGACGGAGCAACGCCGCGUGAGUGAUGAAGGGUUUCGGCUCGUAAAGCUCUGUUAUGAGGGAAGAACACGUACCGUUCGAAUAGGGCGGUACCUUGACGGUACCUCAUCAGAAAGCCACGGCUAACUACGUGCCAGCAGCCGCGGUAAUACGUAGGUGGCAAGCGUUGUCCGGAAUUAUUGGGCGUAAAGCGCGCGCAGGCGGCCUUUUAAGUCUGAUGUGAAAUCUUGCGGCUCAACCGCAAGCGGCCAUUGGAAACUGGGAGGCUUGAGUACAGAAGAGGAGAGUGGAAUU
rnacentral:rRNA from 1 species